rnacentral:rRNA from 1 species
AUGGAGGGAGGAGUGAUCUCGUUGCCGGCGCCGGCGCCGGUUUCUUGCCUCGCCAACAGGGAGUUCCAGGCCACCCCCACCCCCAGCCCGUCCGACGAGUCGACGGUCCUCCGCGAGCUGAACGUUUCCGUCUCCCUCGCCGGUCUGGACAUCUCCCGCGGCCACCACGGCGAGCCGGACGUCCUGGGCCAGAGACGCAGCAAGUGCAAGCCCAAGGUCCGGACAGUCUCCAAGAUGCACAUGGCGGCCAAGGCCAAGGCCAGGGCGGAGAAGGCGGCGGCGGCGGCGCUCGACAAGGCCAAGGCGGAGAAGAAGGCGGCGGCGGCGAACGACAAGGCAAAGACGGAGACGAAGGCGGCGGCGGCGGACUACAAGGUCAAGCCGGAGAAGGAGGCGGCGCCUGCUGGUGGUGCUGCUGCAUCCCCCGAGAGGUUGAAGCUCAACCCGUACGAGGGGUAUGCGAUCAAGGAGAAGAGGAUGGUGAAGAUGGACCAUCGGAACAGCUACAUCAAGUGGCUGCUCGAGUGGGACAAGAAGCCUCGCCCUCCCCUGCCCAACCUCCCCGAGACGCUCCGCUCCAUGGUCGCCAUCAAGGCCGAGCGAGCCCACCAUGAGAGGGUCCUCGCCGACUUCAAGCUCGACGGGCACGCCUACGUCCAGGUCGACGUCUUCUACGACGACGACCCAAGGGCCAACCUCCCCGACGACCAGUACGAGGUCAUCCACCACGACAGCGACGAAGAAGCUUGA